UUAACGGGUGCUCAGAAGGAUUACAUUGUAGUUGGGUCGGAUUCAGGUAGAAUAGUGAUAUUGGAUUAUAAUAAAGAGAAGAACUGUUUUGAUAAAGUACAUCAGGAGACUUUUGGUAAAUCGGGUUGUAGGAGGAUAGUUCCGGGUCAGUAUUUAGCUAUUGACCCAAAAGGUAGGGCUGUGAUGAUUGGUGCUUGUGAGAAGCAGAAGCUUGUGUAUGUUUUGAAUAGGGAUACUGCAGCUAGGUUAACAAUUUCGUCGCCUUUAGAAGCUCAUAAGAGCCAUACGAUUACAUUUUCGAUAUGUGGGGUUGACUGUGGAUUUGAUAACCCGAUAUUUGCUGCUAUUGAAUUGGAUUAUUCGGAGGCAGAUCAGGAUCCGACAGGCCAAGCUGCAAAUGAGGCUCAAAAGCAUUUGACAUUUUAUGAAUUGGAUUUAGGACUUAACCAUGUUUCGAGGAAGUGGUCUGAACAAGUCGAUAAUGGUGCUAAUUUACUUGUGACUGUUCCUGGAG
rnacentral:misc_RNA from 1 species